GUCCUUUUGAAUUUAAUUUAAGGUUUAACCUGCCCACUGAAAUUAUUUAAAGGGCCGCAGUAAUUUGACUGUGCAAAGGUAGCAUAAUCAUUAGUUUUUUAAUUAAAAGCUUGUAUGAAGGGUUGGACGAGGUAAAUUCUGUCUCUAUUUAAUUUAAUAUAGAAUUUAAUUUUUAAGUUAAAAAGCUUAAAUUUUUUUAAAAGACGAGAAGACCCUAUAGAUCUUUAUAUUAAAAUUAUUAAUUUUAAUUAAGAAUAUUUUAUUUUUUAAUAUUUAUAAUAUUUUAUUGGGGUAAUAGAAAGAUUCAAUUAAUUCUUUUUUUUAUAAACAUUUAUUAAUGAUUAUAUGAUCCAAUUUUAUUGAUUAAAAGAUUAAGUUACCUUAGGGAUAACAGCGUAAUUUUUUUAGAGAGUUCAUAUCGAUAAAAAAGUUUGCGACCUCGAUGUUGGAUUAAAAAUUAUCUUAGGUGCAGAAGUUUAAGAUUUUGGUCUGUUCGACCAUUAAAUUUUU
rnacentral:rRNA from 1 species